rfam:Schistosoma rodhaini strain Burundi genome assembly, scaffold: SROB_scaffold0001370
GCACUGCUGAAGAGUCCCACCACAGGACGAAAUGGCCGCCCUGUGC